UUUUGGGUAUAAAUAUGUCCCAUGCAAUAUUUGGGACAUACUCAUACAAAAA
rnacentral:pre_miRNA from 1 species